UGUGUUGGGGGAAUCGUCCUGGUCUUAAAAAAAUAGUGUGAUGACAUUAAACGGCCGGAAAAUGAACCAUAAUUUCUUUAAAUACAUGGUGUAAGUGCUUUCAACGCAAUAAUUCGGAGGGAAAUAGUUGUAUUUUAUCGUUUUCAAGAGUGCUAUAUAUUUAGUCUGUGAUGAGACUAUCCCUCAUUGCCUGCCUGACAGCGACAUUGUUCACGUGAUCACGUCCACGUCACGUUCACACACUGACGACUACCACACUGUCCACAGUCAUGCUGCUGAUGCUGUUGGUGGCACUGGCCCUGGGGAGUGUGCUCGCUGGUCCAGAUUUAUCGAAAUACCCUUUGCAUUUUAACUGUGAAGAACCCAGAUUGUGUUUUGCUGAUUUGGUUCCUCGCUGCAUCAAGGGCCGGGACACUCCCGUGUAUGGACAUUGUGAGUUACAGGACGCCCUAUGCAAUGGCGAGGAGUGGGACCUCACACGCAGCUGCUUGAGGAACAUUGGGUCACGUGUGAAUUACCCGCGGAUCAACUCACCUGAUUCCGAGGCCUCUGACCUUGGGGUGUGAAGGGACCUCGGAGGUCUCUGUGCCAUCAAGGAGGCCACUUGUGACGAAAACGCCGUGCUUGAUAGAAUCAGAAGAUGCUUGCAGUGAGACAAGUCUCCUCCUUCGUGCACUUCAUUGUUUAUGUUCCUUACUGAUCACGUGACCGUUGUACUCUUUGGACUAAUAAAGUACAGUAAAAAUA